GGGUUGUGAGGUUAAGCGACUAAGCGUACACGGUGGAUGCCCUGGCAGUCAGAGGCGAUGAAGGACGUGCUAAUCUGCGAUAAGCGUCGGUAAGGUGAUAUGAACCGUUAUAACCGGCGAUUUCCGAAUGGGGAAACCCAGUGUGAUUCGUCACACUAUCAUUAACUGAAUCCAUAGGUUAAUGAGGCGAACCGGGGGAACUGAAACAUCUAAGUACCCCGAGGAAAAGAAAUCAACCGAGAUUCCCCCAGUAGCGGCGAGCGAACGGGGAGCAGCCCAGAGCCUGAAUCAGUGUGUGUGUUAGUGGAAGCGUCUGGAAAGGCGCGCGAUACAGGGUGACAGCCCCGUACACAAAAAUGCACAUAUUGUGAGCUCGAUGAGUAGGGCGGGACACGUGGUAUCCUGUCUGAAUAUGGGGGGACCAUCCUCCAAGGCUAAAUACUCCUGACUGACCGAUAGUGAACCAGUACCGUGAGGGAAAGGCGAAAAGAACCCCGGCGAGGGGAGUGAAAAAGAACCUGAAACCGUGUACGUACAAGCAGUGGGAGCACGCUUCGGCGUGUGACUGCGUACCUUUUGUAUAAUGGGUCAGCGACUUAUAUUCUGUAGCAAGGUUAACCGAAUAGGGGAGCCGAAGGGAAACCGAGUCUUAACUGGGCGUUAAGUUGCAGGGUAUAGACCCGAAACCCGGUGAUCUAGCCAUGGGCAGGUUGAAGGUUGGGUAACACUAACUGGAGGACCGAACCGACUAAUGUUGAAAAAUUAGCGGAUGACUUGUGGCUGGGGGUGAAAGGCCAAUCAAACCGGGAGAUAGCUGGUUCUCCCCGAAAGCUAUUUAGGUAGCGCCUCGUGAAUUCAUCUCCGGGGGUAGAGCACUGUUUCGGCAAGGGGGUCAUCCCGACUUACCAACCCGAUGCAAACUGCGAAUACCGGAGAAUGUUAUCACGGGAGACACACGGCGGGUGCUAACGUCCGUCGUGAAGAGGGAAACAACCCAGACCGCCAGCUAAGGUCCCAAAGUCAUGGUUAAGUGGGAAACGAUGUGGGAAGGCCCAGACAGCCAGGAUGUUGGCUUAGAAGCAGCCAUCAUUUAAAGAAAGCGUAAUAGCUCACUGGUCGAGUCGGCCUGCGCGGAAGAUGUAACGGGGCUAAACCAUGCACCGAAGCUGCGGCAGCGACGCUGAUGCGUUGUUGGGUAGGGGAGCGUUCUGUAAGCCUGCGAAGGUGUGCUGUGAGGCAUGCUGGAGGUAUCAGAAGUGCGAAUGCUGACAUAAGUAACGAUAAAGCGGGUGAAAAGCCCGCUCGCCGGAAGACCAAGGGUUCCUGUCCAACGUUAAUCGGGGCAGGGUGAGUCGACCCCUAAGGCGAGGCCGAAAGGCGUAGUCGAUGGGAAACAGGUUAAUAUUCCUGUACUUGGUGUUACUGCGAAGGGGGGACGGAGAAGGCUAUGUUGGCCGGGCGACGGUUGUCCCGGUUUAAGCGUGUAGGCUGGUUUUCCAGGCAAAUCCGGAAAAUCAAGGCUGAGGCGUGAUGACGAGGCACUACGGUGCUGAAGCAACAAAUGCCCUGCUUCCAGGAAAAGCCUCUAAGCAUCAGGUAACAUCAAAUCGUACCCCAAACCGACACAGGUGGUCAGGUAGAGAAUACCAAGGCGCUUGAGAGAACUCGGGUGAAGGAACUAGGCAAAAUGGUGCCGUAACUUCGGGAGAAGGCACGCUGAUAUGUAGGUGAAGUCCCUCGCGGAUGGAGCUGAAAUCAGUCGAAGAUACCAGCUGGCUGCAACUGUUUAUUAAAAACACAGCACUGUGCAAACACGAAAGUGGACGUAUACGGUGUGACGCCUGCCCGGUGCCGGAAGGUUAAUUGAUGGGGUCAGCGCAAGCGAAGCUCUUGAUCGAAGCCCCGGUAAACGGCGGCCGUAACUAUAACGGUCCUAAGGUAGCGAAAUUCCUUGUCGGGUAAGUUCCGACCUGCACGAAUGGCGUAAUGAUGGCCAGGCUGUCUCCACCCGAGACUCAGUGAAAUUGAACUCGCUGUGAAGAUGCAGUGUACCCGCGGCAAGACGGAAAGACCCCGUGAACCUUUACUAUAGCUUGACACUGAACAUUGAGCCUUGAUGUGUAGGAUAGGUGGGAGGCUUUGAAGUGUGGACGCCAGUCUGCAUGGAGCCGACCUUGAAAUACCACCCUUUAAUGUUUGAUGUUCUAACGUUGACCCGUGAUCCGGGUUGCGGACAGUGUCUGGUGGGUAGUUUGACUGGGGCGGUCUCCUCCUAAAGAGUAACGGAGGAGCACGAAGGUUGGCUAAUCCUGGUCGGACAUCAGGAGGUUAGUGCAAUGGCAUAAGCCAGCUUGACUGCGAGCGUGACGGCGCGAGCAGGUGCGAAAGCAGGUCAUAGUGAUCCGGUGGUUCUGAAUGGAAGGGCCAUCGCUCAACGGAUAAAAGGUACUCCGGGGAUAACAGGCUGAUACCGCCCAAGAGUUCAUAUCGACGGCGGUGUUUGGCACCUCGAUGUCGGCUCAUCACAUCCUGGGGCUGAAGUAGGUCCCAAGGGUAUGGCUGUUCGCCAUUUAAAGUGGUACGCGAGCUGGGUUUAGAACGUCGUGAGACAGUUCGGUCCCUAUCUGCCGUGGGCGCUGGAGAACUGAGGGGGGCUGCUCCUAGUACGAGAGGACCGGAGUGGACGCAUCACUGGUGUUCGGGUUGUCAUGCCAAUGGCACUGCCCGGUAGCUAAAUGCGGAAGAGAUAAGUGCUGAAAGCAUCUAAGCACGAAACUUGCCCCGAGAUGAGUUCUCCCUGACCCUUUAAGGGUCCUGAAGGAACGUUGAAGACGACGACGUUGAUAGGCCGGGUGUGUAAGCGCAGCGAUGCGUUGAGCUAACCGGUACUAAUGAACCGUGAGGCUUAACCUUACAACGCCGAAG
rnacentral:rRNA from 1 species